AGGUUAAGGUUGGAACAAGUUGUUGUCUUCUGGACAUGGAAAACUACAUGAAUGAAGGAAAGGAUGCACGUUUGCCAUUCUUAAAAAAGUGGUCCACCUUUGUUCAGACUUCCUGUUCUGCAAGUUCAGUUGACUAUAUGCCGCGUUGGGGUGAUACCUUAAAUGAGUCUGCUGUUGAUAUGAACAACAUGGAUCGUUCUGACGAUGGUGAAGUGGAGAUGGUGGCGACAGAAGAUGACACUGCAAGUUAAGCCUAGGAGGAAUCCACACCAGGGAAGCUCUCAAAAGUCUGCUAAGAAGAGGACAUAGCAAGCUGUCCACCAUUAAAGAGAACUUAUAUUCACUGCUGUCUACAGCUAUAGCAUUGAUGAUGGGGUGACAACACAAUACUGCUCAUCAGGGAAAGCAGAAGCGUAUCACCUUUGUUAGGGCUGUUUUUGACCUGAUUUUAUAGCCGAAAUCGGCUAUA